GAUGAAGAACGUAGCAAAAUGCGAUAAUUAAUGUCAAUUGCAGAAUUCCGUGAAUCAUCGAGUCUUUGAACGCACAUUGCGCCUCAUGGCAUUCCGUGAGGCAUGCCCAUCUCAGCGUUAGAAAAUAUUCUCAAAUUUUAGUUUUGUGCUAAAAUUUGGAUCAUGUCAAGGAAGCUAUUACUAUUAUUGUGAUCGCUCUUUGGAAAUUGAUAGGUCUUUGAGUUGCUACUCAUAGAACGUGAUGAAUCUUUCUUCGUUCUAUUGUAAUUCACUCUGGUAGUCCUAAAACUUGUAUGCCUGUGGCAUAUCUUGUAAUUUGACCUGAGAUUGGGUAGGGAUACCCGCUGAACUUAAGCAUAUCAAUAAGCGGAGGA
rnacentral:misc_RNA from 1 species